rnacentral:rRNA from 1 species
CCUACGGGAGGCAGCAGUAGGGAAUUUUCGGCAAUGGGGGGAACCCUGAACGAGCAAAGCCGCGUGAACGAAGAAGUUAUUCGUAAUGUAAAGUUCUUUUAACAGGGAAGAAAGAGAAAUUUGACGGUACCUGAAGCAUAAGCUCCGGCUAACUACGUUCCAGCAGCCGCGGUAAUACGUAGGGGGCGAGCGUUAUCCGGAAUUAUUGGGCGGAAAGGGUGCGUAGAUGGCAUAGUAAGUCUUGUGUAAAAAUGCUGGGCUCAACCCAGUAGGGCAAAAGAUACUGCAAAGCUGGAGUAUGACAGAGGCAAGUGGAACGACAUGUGUAGCGGUAAAAUGCGUAAAUAUAUGUCAGAACACCAAUGGCGAAGGCGGCUUGCUGGGUCGAUACUGACACUGAGGCACGAAAGCGUGGGGAGCAAACAGGAUUAGAUACCCUGGUAGUC